rnacentral:rRNA from 1 species
UAGGGAAUCUUCGGCAAUGGACGAAAGUCUGACCGAGCAACGCCGCGUGAGUGAAGAAGGAUUUCGGAACGUAAAACUCUGUUGUUAGAGAAGAACAAGGACGUUAGUAACUGAACGUCCCCUGACGGUAUCUAACCAGAAAGCCACGGCUAACUACGUGCCAGCAGCCGCGGUAAUACGUAGGUGGCAAGCGUUGUCCGGAUUUAUUGGGCGUAAAGCGAGCGCAGGCGGUUUCUUAAGUCUGAUGUGAAAGCCCCCGGCUCAACCGGGGAGGGUCAUUGGAAACUGGGAGACUUGAGUGCAGAAGAGGAGAGUGGAAUUCCAUGUGUAGCGGUGAAAUGCGUAGAUAUAUGGAGGAACACCAGUGGCGAAGGCGGCUCUCUGGUCUGUAACUGACGCUGAGGCUCGAAAGCGUGGGGAGCAAACAGG